rnacentral:rRNA from 1 species
UCAAAGAUUAAGCCAUGCAUGUCUAAGUAUAAGCAAUUAUACAGCGAAACUGCGAAUGGCUCAUUAUAUAAGUUAUCGUUUAUUUGAUAGUACCUUACUACUUGGAUAACCGUGGUAAUUCUAGAGCUAAUACAUGCUGAAAAUCCCGACUUCGGAAGGGAUGUAUUUAUUAGAUUAAAAACCAAUGCCCUUUGGGCUCCUUGGUGAUUCAUAAUAACUUUUCGAAUCGCAUGGCCUUGCGCCGGCGAUGGUUCAUUCAAAUUUCUUCCCUAUCAACUUUCGAUGUUUGRNUAUUGGCCAAACAUGGUCCGCAACGGGUAACGGAGGGUUAGGGCUCGACCCCGGAGAAGGAGCCUGAG